rnacentral:rRNA from 1 species
AUGAACGCUGGCGGCGUGCUUAACACAUGCAAGUCGAACGGUGAAGCCCAGCUUGCUGGGUGGAUCAGUGGCGAACGGGUGAGUAACACGUGAGCAACCUGCCCCUGACUCUGGGAUAAGCGCUGGAAACGGCGUCUAAUACUGGAUACGAGACGUGAUCGCAUGGUCAACGUUUGGAAAGAUUUUUCGGUUGGGGAUGGGCUCGCGGCCUAUCAGCUUGUUGGUGAGGUAAUGGCUCACCAAGGCGUCGACGGGUAGCCGGCCUGAGAGGGUGACCGGCCACACUGGGACUGAGACACGGCCCAGACUCCUACGGGAGGCAGCAGUGGGGAAUAUUGCACAAUGGGCGCAAGCCUGAUGCAGCAACGCCGCGUGAGGGAUGACGGCCUUCGGGUUGUAAACCUCUUUUAGCAGGGAAGAAGCGAGAGUGACGGUACCUGCAGAAAAAGCACCGGCUAACUACGU